rnacentral:misc_RNA from 1 species
GUAGGUGAACCUGCGGAAGGAUCAUUAACACAUCUCUUUACAAUUCUCUUCUUUUUUUUAGAAGGAAUUUCACCCCUUUUUUUCUAGCGAACAUUUGUUUUUUCCUUUCGGGGAAGUUGAAUUGCAUGCAGUUCAAUUUUUCCGCUUUUUCUUUUUCUAAAACACAAACAAACCCAAUUGAAACAUUUCUUUGACUGAAAAUUUUAUUGUACAUUUUCGAAUGUACAAUACAAAAACAAAUACAAAUUGA